rnacentral:lncRNA from 1 species
CCAGUUAGAGAGUGCAACAAAUUCUUCUUUUUCUUUUUCCAUUUGAUUUUUCUGCUACAUAUUUAUUGUUGUUAUGUUGUCAUUUGUUGUUGUCGCAUCAUGUUCGAUGAACGUUCUACACCAAUCUUUUUCUUCUUUUUACUUUUGAUUUGUUGUUGUGUUGCUAAGUUUCUAUUAUUGUUAAUUCAAUGGAGGUUAGGGGAAGGAGGUUGAAGAAAUAAAAGCUGAUGAUUUGAGAGUGAAGAUGAUUUGAGGAGGUUAAGUUGAUGGAGUCUUUUUC